GUGAAUCAUCGAAUUUUUGAACGCAAAUUGCACUCUCCUCGGAGAGUAUGCCUGUUUGAGGUUCAGCCUAUAAAAAUCGACAUCGGUGCUGUUUCGCGGUGUCGGUCGUCGGGAAUUGGGUCAUCUUAAAUCCUUUUGAUUUAAGCGGCUUAAAAUUUUCUUUUGGUUCCAUGAACUUUUCUAAGUUCUAUUUCUUACACGUUUAAGCGAUCGAUUUUUACUAGACGUUACCAUCAUAUCGUCUCGCGUCCAUUAUUUUUCAUU
rnacentral:misc_RNA from 1 species